UACGUAGGGUGCAAGCGUUGUCCGGAAUUAUUGGGCGUAAAGAGCUCGUAGGCGGUUUGUCGCGUCGGCUGUGAAAGCCCGGAGCUCAACUCCGGGUCUGCAGUCGAUACGGGCAGACUUGAGUGUUGCAGGGGAGACUGGAAUUCCUGGUGUAGCGGUGAAAUGCGCAGAUAUCAGGAAGAACACCCGUGGCUAAGGCGGCUCUCUAGUACGGUACUGACGCUGAGACGCGAAAGCGUGGGGAGCGAACAGG
rnacentral:rRNA from 1 species